rnacentral:rRNA from 1 species
UACGGAGGAUGCAAGCGUUAUCCGGAAUGAUUGGGCGUAAAGCGUCCGCAGGUGGCAAUGUAAGUCUGCUGUCAAAGCGUCUGGCUCAACCAGAUAAAGGCAGUGGAAACUACAUAGCUAGAGUAAGGUAGGGGUAGAGGGAAUUCCUGGUGUAGCGGUGAAAUGCGUAGAUAUUGGGAAGAACACCGGUGGCGAAGGCGCUCUACUGGGCCAUAACUGACACUGAUGGACGAAAGCUAGGGGAGCGAAAGGG